rnacentral:snRNA from 1 species
AUCCGAGUGCAAGGGCAUUAAGUAUUACAGUGAGGAUUCGUCCGAGUAUACUUUUUUGCUAGUUGAAAACUACAACUACUUGACCACUUCAUCUGUGGCAACACGGAUGGGAAUCUUUGAGCACCUUCAUUAUCGCUUUUUCAUCGUCGUUGACGCCUUGAGCGAUGACACGGAGAAGAGG